GGCCUCCAUCUUGAAAACGGAAAAUAAAAACAGCAGACCUAUGAAGGUCGAAGGGGAAGAAAAGCUGUAUCGAUUGUUGAGAUCUGGCGACUUGUUUAAAUUUCAUCAGCCUCACUUCUAUGAACUCUCAGGGUCCUCGUAAGAACUUCCAUUUUAUGUUCUUGUCUUCUCAUCAGUUUGAGUUGUGUCUUUAACAUUGGAGAGAAAAACAACUUGCAAGAUUUUCUUUCAGUAUGAACCAUUCUGAGGUCCUUCAAUUCUUUAGCUGAUUACCAACUCCUACCACUGUUAACCCUCAUCCAGGAACAAGCUUAUGUCUUUAACAUUCUGAGUGGGCUUCAGCAUCCUUGCAUAUGUUCAAUUCUUAAAAACCUGUUGAAAUAAAAGAUCAGGAGACAUAGGAAGGAUGCCAGAAGAGAGCGUGGCCUCACGUGUACCAGCUCUCUGCUCUCCUUUGCCUUGGGACGUUCCAUCCCUGGAAGUUUCCCUGCCCACAUCUUUGUAGAGAGUCCAUUCUCCAAGCUUCAGUGUGUCAUCUGUGAGGACCGUGACCCACCUGGUACAUCGCCUCAGGGCAUUCAUUUCAGGCUCCUUCUAAAUGGCCAAGUCUUCUGCCAGCCUAACAAGCAUAGCAAGAAGAUAUAGCCCCACAACCACUUUAUGCACAAAGUUAGAAGCAUAAAAUCUCAUGGAAGGAGACCGAUUAUCUACAGAAGAGGUUGUCUUGCCAUUUCUCUCAUGUUAGAGGUAAACCUCAGGUUCUCCUCCUGCCUUUUGCUAAGUAUAUGUCUUGAUGACAAGCCUUCUGCUGAUGAGCUGUGUUUCUGGACCGAUCAUGGUAGAAGUCAAUUAACGUGUCCCUCACUUGGGGUUUCUCAAGGCUGCACUGAUGAGGAAACUGAAACAGAAAAUCCAGAGUAAAUUCCACCAGGCCACACAGCAAGGUCUGAUAGAGCCAGGAGAGACUUUAUGAAAUCCAGACUCUCACACUAAUGCUCUAUCAGCUAGACCUCCAUGUGAGUCUCCCCAAUGUAGGUAGGAAGUGCUUUCCCUAAAAUGCUCAUAAAGCAAAUCAGAGCAAUGCUGCAUUCCAUGUGAUUUCUAAUUUGAAAUGCAAACAAUUGCCAAUUUGUUUGACUUGUAUUUAUAAUUAUUUCCUUGUGAAUUACUCAUCACUAAAUGCUUUAUAAAUAUUUUCUCUUUUUUUCCUCAAUGUCUAUGGAAUGAUCACAGCAUAGAAAAUGUUGGCUUUCAAGGAUUUAUUAAUAUCUCCUUUUGAAAUAACAUGUAUUUGUAAGACAGAAUAAAAUCACUUUAAAGAAACAAA
rnacentral:lncRNA from 1 species